rnacentral:rRNA from 1 species
ACGAACGCUGGCGGCGUGCUUAACACAUGCAAGUCGAACGGAAAGGCCCUGCUUUCAGGGUACUCGAGUGGCGAACGGGUGAGUAACACGUGGGUGAUCUGCCCUGCACUUCGGGAUAAGCCUGGGAAACUGGGUCUAAUACCGGAUAGGAGCCAUUUUUAGUGUGAUGGUUGGAAAGUUUUUUCGGUGUAGGAUGAGCUCGCGGCCUAUCAGCUUGUUGGUGGGGUAAUGGCCUACCAAGGCGGCGACGGGUAGCCGGCCUGAGAGGGUGGACGGCCACAUUGGGACUGAGAUACGGCCCAGACUCCUACGGGAGGCAGCAGUGGGGAAUAUUGCACAAUGGGCGCAAGCCUGAUGCAGCGACGCCGCGUGGGGGAUGACGGCCUUCGGGUUGUAAACUCCUUUCGCUAGGGACGAAGCUUUUUGUGACGGUACCUAGAUAAGAAGCACCGGCUAACUACGUG